GUUGAACAAAUAGAAAAACAAUAUGUUAAAAAUUGUUUGUCUUGAGUGAAGAAAUUAUUUUAAUUUAGACAGCAUGUAGAUGUGGUUCAAGAACGAUCUAGAAUACUUGUAAUAACCGGUUAUUAAUUGGCCGGAUGUAACCCGAUUAAGGGUAAAAACGUAAAAUACUAUGAAUAUAAAAAUAAAAUGAUAGAAAGAAAGAGAUUAAAACAGAAAGGAAAAACGGAAAGAAGAAGGGGAAGAAGGAGGGCGGCUAGGAGAAAGGGAGGACGGUUUGGGGGCACCGGUGUCGUGGUGUGGUAGGUGUGAGGCUCGACAGGCAGCGAAAGAGGUAUGUAGAGUUUUAGAUUUGGAAAUGAGAUAAGGGGUAUCUUGAUGGGAAGAAAGGGUAGAUGUGAAUGAAAGAAGCAUCGGGAGUAGAUCCGAUCUUGAUGAAUGUGUUCAUGGAUGAUAAAGGAGUGAAAUGGUAGGAUACCCAAACACCUUGGGUCAUCCGAUCCAUGGAUUUGACUAUCGUUGGCUCGCUGUGGGUGAUUGGGUUUAGUUGGGUUUAAUAUUUUAUUGUCAUCUUUAGUAUGUUAUUGUUUUGCUUUACAGCCGUUUAAUAUUUUAUUAUAUCGUGAUGGGUUUAAUAUUUUAUUGUCAUCUUUAGUAUGUUAUUGUUUCAUUCUACUGCCAUUUAUUAUUUUAUUAUAUCGUGAUGAAUAUGAUCAUGGGUGAUGACGUAUUUAAAUGGUAGAAUCAUGGAUUUGGCUAUUGUUGGCUCACUGUUGAACAUUGGGAUUAAUUGGGUUUAAUGUGAUAAUGCUAUCUUCACCUUGUUGCUGCCUAUAUUAUGUCUGCCUAUAUUAUGGUUGAGUAUCAUGAUUUUCUCUAUUUUGUUACUGUUGAUUUCUAUUGAUGAUUGAGUUUAAUAGAGUUUAAUGUGAUAUUGCUAUCUUCAUCUUGUUGCUGCCUAUAUUUUUGCCUAUAUGUAUUGCUGCCUAUAUUUUGGAAUGUUGGGCCUAUAAUGGGAUUUAAUGGGUUAUAUAUUAUAUUGCUGUCCACUUAUGUUGCUAUCAAUUUUAUUGCAAUUUAUUAAUUAUUUCUAAUGUUAGAUUAACAUGUUAUCGGGGUACUCAUUGUAGCAGGUCAAAUACUUAUCAUGUGGGAGGGUUGGAUACUAUAGGAUUGCAUGCUAAAUUGACAUGUUAACUGUCUUGGUUAAAUAUCACAUUGUUGUCCUGUUUUGUGGUCGUCAAUGAUAUAGCAGAUUAUUGAUUUAUCCCUAUCUUAGAUAUGGUUUAUAUACUAUUGAGGGCAUGUUGGAUUUGCAUAAAGUCAUUUAUCAUUGCGGGCUGUUUCGAUUAAUUUAUUUCUGUUUAGAUAAUGAACAUGUUAUAGAGGUGUAUGUUUGGUUAGAAGUUAAGAUAUUUAUCAUGUGGUUUUGUUUUAAGUACAUGUUGAGUUAAAAUGAUGAUAGGAUUAAGGGGGGAAAUUUACAUGAAUGGACAAGGGAAUAAGAAUAGAAAUACAUGUACGAAUGGUUUAAUGAAUGAAUGAAAGGAUGCAUGAAUGAGAUAUGACCGAGGUGUUAUGACGCCUAUCCAAUGGUGAAUGACGAAUGACGAAUGACGAACGAUGAAUGAUGACCCAUAUGGGUUCAUGAAUGAUGCAUGAUUAAUACUAUUCAACUGUUACGCAUGUAUAAUGUUAAUUGAUAAUGUUAGAUAAUUGUUGGUGUUUAUGCUUUACAUACUGAGUGAUGUAAGCACUCACGGAUACAUGACAUGUUGCAGGGAAUGGAGGCAACCUUGCCUAACUGGGGUGGUAGGAGACAACAGACUCGUCGAGGUGACAAUGAUUGGGAAGGUUUUGAGGGGAAAAAAUGGGUUUCCAUUUUUUCUACGGAAACAUACCCGAUAGUUUCUUGCGGACGGACGAUGAUAGGUAGAAGCGUAGAUGACAACAUGUAGGGGAAGAUUUCUGGUUCGAUGUAGAAGACGUAGGCGAAAAAACAGGAACACCAGACGAACACUGUCGGAAAAUGGGUUUAUCGCCUGGGGGUGGGAGGGUUUUUGGAGGGGAGAGUGGAACUGAAAAUUAUAUAUUUUUUGAAUAAUAAUAAAUUUUACAUAUUUUUUUGAAUUUUACUAGGGGAGCUAUUAGGUAAUCUAUUGCUGAGCUAUUAGUACCUUCUAUGUCAGUAUCUAAUAUUUUAAUUUUUUUUCCCAACAGGUACCAUGCAAUAACCGGGUACUGCUUUUACAGGUAACUGCUUAAAAAAAUCGACAAUUCUGUUGCUCUUAUAAAACGGACGACCGUGAUGGUAGAGGGUUUUUAUAAGAACCCUUCAUACCUGAUACGGACCGUAUUGGUUAUAUGUUGGCUUGAGAAUUUUAAAAUUUGGCUGCGAUGGUCAUUUAUUCCUCCCUUGUAUGACUCACAAAAUUGAGUGAUUCUUCAACUAUAUAAAUAAAGGUUCAAACACACAUGGAUAUUCAUUACUUGCAAGCAUUAUCAAUCAUUCAUUCAACUUCCAAGCUCUCACUUGCUCUCGCUCUAGCCUUCAAAGUUUGAAAGCUGUCCAACAUUUGUUGAGAGGAGUUUUCGAAAGUUGUGUAUUUAAAGUUCAAUAUUUCUUGUAUUCUUUGUCAUUUAUCUAGUUAAAUAAAUAAAUAAAAAUUUAAAAGAAAUCCACA
rnacentral:lncRNA from 1 species